rnacentral:rRNA from 1 species
UACAGAGGUCUCAAGCGUUGUUCGGAUUCAUUGGGCGUAAAGGGUGCGUAGGCGGCGCGGUAAGUCGGGGUGUGAAAAACUUGGGGCUUAACCCUGAGCUUGCGGUCGAUACGGGCAUGACUGGAGUUCGGCAGGGGAGACUGGAAUUCCUGGUGUAGCGGUGAAAUGCGCAGAUAUCAGGAGGAACACCGGUGGCGAAGGCAGGUCUCUGGGCCGAUACUGACGCUGAGGAGCGAAAGCGUGGGGAGCGAACAGG